rnacentral:lncRNA from 1 species
GCCAGGGAUUGAACCUGUGUCCUCCUGGGUACUAGUUGGGUUCAUUACCAUUGAGCCACAAUGGGAACUUCCAGUUGCUUUAUUUUUUAAUGAAAUAUACAUAUACAUAAAUGUAUAUAUUUCAGAAAAUAUUAGUAACUACUGGUACUAGUGUUAACACUUAGGGAAUUAUCUUCAUUUAAGAAAAGUCAUUGAUAAAUUUCUAUGAAUUACUAUGAGGCCUCGAGAGUCAGGUGUGAAAGGAGACUGCAGUAGAAAGAAAACUAAACAAUUAUGUGUAAAGAAGUGAACAUAUAUGUGGAGGGGGAAUGCCAGGAAGAAAGACAAGUGAGGAUGGAGUUAGAUAAAAGGCCAUUCAAGGUAGAUAGGAGACUGGAUCCUGUGGAGAAAGAUUGAAAAAUUCCCUGAUGGCACAGUACCGAGAACUUUAAAAAGUCUACAGACAACCUCAUGACUCAUGGCAUUGCAGUGUUUGUGUGGUUCCGAGGAAAUCAAAGAGAGAAGCUCUGUGUAGAACAAAGAGAAGCAAUCAUCUAUAACAGGUGAAAUAUGUGAAAACAAUCGUUCAGCAGAAAUAGGAGCCACAGUUGAUCAUGAGAAAGCAAGCGCGUGGUAUUAAGGGCAAUGGAAUUUCUCACAGGAGACUUUCUGAGAGGCUGAGGUUCCAGCUGCAGACCAGAUGGCUGGAUUCACAGGAUGAUUAUGGGGAUCUUUGAAGGUGUGCAGCACACUGCUUGUCACAUGGUAGUCAACAUUUAAGUAUUUAUGUAAACACUCGCUCUCCACUGAUCCUGUAUAGUCCUGCGUCACUUUUGGGGCUAAGACAGCCUUGGCUUUGAGGAUUAUCUCUGAGUAAGGUUGUAGGGAAAUUCUCAUGGAAUGAAACUCCUACAUAGUAUCUAACAGGGCAUGGGGGAAACUGGUUAUCUGAAAAUGCAGUUCACCCAGAUAAGGGACAGAAAAUGUUUAACUCAAAUCCUGUUUUAUGGAGCUAAGACAUGUAGUCUUUCUUCUUCUAGACUAUAGAAACAUGCUUAAGUCACAUUAAGCUUAUAAAAUGUCAUAUAUUGUGAAAAUAGUAAAAGAUUGUCUCCAAGGAGGACAUAAGUAACUGUUCCGAGAAUAAAAAUAGAACUGAAAAAGAAACAAAUUAUAUUCUUUCAAAAAUAUGUUAAUAAAAUUUAGUAUAGUCAGGAAUACUAAUGUCAUAUGGAAGUGUUCCUGAGAUGUAAUGAAUAUGAAAAUAGAGGAGAAAAAACAUAGCAAAUACCUAGCAUCGUUUCACCAUAUAGUUACCAUCCUUCUAGAUAAUUUUCCUGUCCAUUUGUUUCUGGACUUUUCCACCCAAACCAAUUUCACUAUUCAAUGGCCACUGAAAGAAAUUUGAUUAUUUGCACCAGCAAUUUAGAACCCAAGGUGAUCGUUCACAUCAAAUUCGAGUUUCAAAUCUGCGAACCUCAAGUUUUCUUAUGGCUAUGGUAUUUUGUCAAUGAGAUAACCACUUCAUUAUUUCUACUUUUUGUUUGUUGAAGAGUCAUCUCAAGUCAUAUAGAUGCAUUCAUAAGAGGUGCCAAGUGAAAUUUUGAUUGUCUAAACAGAUUUUCCCAACCUUAACCUCUUGUAAUGGUAGGAGAGGAUAGACAAUUCAAUUCCCUGUUAUUUCCUGACCAUUUGCUUAAUCCUCUCUCUGUGAUAAGUACACUGAGAUGGCAACAGUUCUGCAAGUUCUGAAAGUUACUUAGAAAGGUACAGGCUUUGGGGUCCUAUAGGCCUGAAGUUGAAUAUUAUUUUCUAGAUCUGUGACCUUGGGAAUUUAUUUUAAUGUUUCUAAGGCUAACUGCCUUACCUGCUACAGACAGCUAUUGUUUUUCUUUCAUUCUUGGGUAUAAUUAAACUGUAUAUUUUCAGCCUCCCUUGCAGAUUGGUGUAUCCAGACCUGAAUUCUGGCAAUAGAAUGCUGUUUGGAAAUAAAGUGUAACACUUCCUGGCAUGGCCCAUAAAAAUCUCACGAGUACACUAUUCUCUCAUCUUCUUCUGCUGGCUGACUGAAGAGGACUCCAGAGACCUAUGAAAAACACAAACUUGUGGACAGAAACCUGGAACAGAUCCUGUUGCCGUGCUUUGCCACCCCAAUCAGAUGUAAGCAAGAAAUAACAUUUAUUUGAAGAAGAGGAAUAAGUCACUUUCCAAUGUAUAAAAAAAUUCCAGAGCUUAGUUCAAAGCCAUUGGAUUUACCAAGCACUGGCAUAGGUGACAGCUGUGGUUUGGAUUCAACCCCUGGCCCAAGAACUUCCAUAUAUCACAGGUGAUGAACAAGCCAGGGUGGUUGGCUUCCUCCUCCAAAUCAACCUUGGAGAAACUAUAGAAUCAUGAGGUAAAAAAGAAUUCAAGGAACUAACCACAAUGAAACUUCAUGAAGACAUCCUUGUGAGACUGAAGUCUGUGUUUGCUUCUAUGUAUAGAAGAGAAAUCUAUGAACCUACAAGCUGAAGUACUCAGGAAAUCCCUUUGGGAAUUGGACAUAAAUGAUAUUGUUGGAGAGUAUCAGAGACUGCUUGGGCAAAUGAACACGUGUGAAGUAUUCUUCAAAUAGAUCACAGAAAUUGCACAGAGGUUUGUUCCACAUACUUUACCAAUAAGGACCUCAAACUGCGGAGAACACAGAUAUUAUUUACUACAGAACCAGGAAGGAUUUUGAAGCCAUAGGAGGCAAUGUAAUCUCAUUUCAUGAAAUUUGGCUUCUUGCAUGAGAACUAUAAUUUUACAAUUUCGAAGGGAUGUAUUCUCUUCUUCGUGACACUCAGUCUUCUCAGAGCUUAUGACAUUCAGGUCUACUUUGAACUGGGUGCCUCUCUAUCUGCUAUACACCUGUCCUAGAAUUUCACUGUAUUCUCUUGGAAAGAUGGCUCUGGUUUGCUGUUUUUGUGUCUCAAUUCCUGUUUUCCUCUUUCUUUGGUUUCUUUUUUAUUUUUGCUAGGAAACAUCUUGUAAUAGUUGUUUGAAGAAGUGUAUCUGAAUAGUGAGUUUUGAAUCUGUAAAAUUUGAAACUGUUUUUAUUUUGUUUUGAGUGGUAGUGUAGUUUGGUUCAAAUUUAUUUAUUUAUAUUGGCUCAAAGUUAUUUUUCCCUCAAAACUUUGAAGGCAUUUUCUCACAUUUUUUCUAGAAUCAACAUUGUUCACAAGAAGCCUCAUGCUAUCCCAAGUCUCCUCACUUUGAAAGUCAUCCCCUUUAUCCUUUUUGAAACUUGUUAAAUUUUUCUUUGUUUCUAGGGUUCUGAAAUUUCUAGCGGCUAUUCAUGAGAAAUAAUUUUUAAAGAUUUUUUUUAUUAGUAAACUUUCAUUUUUAGAAGAGUUUUAGAUUUUAGUUAUGAAACACUGAGCAGAUUGUACAGAGUUCCCAUAUAUCCCACUCUACCACUAUAUUUCCCCAUUUAAUAACAUAUUAGUAUAUUUCCUACAUUUUAUGAUUCAAUGUUGAUACAUUAUUAUUAACAAAAGUCAAUAGUUUAUUCCUCUCUCCCUUUUUCUUAUCAGAUGAUUUUUUUUUUUUUUCUGUCUUAGGAUCCCAUCUGUGUUACCAGAUUACAUUUGUCCUGUCUUAGGCUCCUCUUGGCUGUGACAGUUUCUCAAACUUUCUCUGUUUUUGAUGACCUUGGCUAUGUUUAGGAUUACUGGUCAGGUAUAUUGUAGGAUGCCCUGGGGCUGGAAUUGUUCUGAAGUUUUCCACAUGAUUAGGCUGGAGUUGUAGGUCUUCAGGAGGAAGAUCACAGAAGUGAAGUGUCAUUUCAUUACAUAUCCUACCAGGAGUGCACAGUGUCAGCAUGAUUUAUGACUGUGGAUGUAGACCUUGAUCACCUGGUUGAAAGAGUAUUUUUCUGGUUUCUCCCCUUUCAAGUUACUCUUUUUUUCCCCCCUUUCCAUCUCCUGCUCUUUACAAGGGGCAAGAAGUUACACUGCCCUUCCUUUAGGGUAAAAUAUCUAUAUAAAUUAAUUUAGAUUUUUUAUGCAAGGGCUGUUUAUCUCUUCUCCCUAGUUUAUUCAUUUAUUUAUUGUUUAUUUCUAUCGGUAUGGACUCAUGAUAUUUAUUUCAUACUCUGGGUUAUAAUUCAAUACUAUUUUAUUUAUUUAUUUACCCAAAUUGUCCCAGCUUUGGCCACUGCGAGCUCUUUCUGUAUCUGUUUGACAUACCCCUAGCAUUGUGCUUUGAUUUUUUUCCCCCUAGCAUUUCCUUAAAUACUUUGUCACUAUAAGAGCUCAUGUUGUAUAUUUCCUGCUCCAGUCCUAGGAUUACCAUUAAUGCAGGGAGUCCCAGUUCUUUAUACUGAAAAAUAGUUUUAGAAACCAAGAUCUGGGCUUUAGAUGUUCUUGUUGCUACUGGGACGGCAUUGCUUCUAGGCCCUCUCUGGGGACAGAGCCUAGAUAUAUAUGUGUAUAUAUGCUAACUCAUGCUCAUGCACACACACAUUUCUAUAUGUAACAGUUAAAUACGAGCUCUUAUUGAUGUCGCCAACUUGAAUACAAUACUGCAUGGGUAUUAUUGCUUCCUUCCUUGCUUAUCUGUGAGUUUCCACUCCAAUAGUGAGAAACCUGGCUUCCUGGCCACUGCCAUCCAUUUACCUGUUUCAUUCCAUUCUAUAUGUAUAUCAGCAUCAGAAUUAUUAACCUGUGCAUCAUGGAAACAGUUUUACUAGCUACAGUACAAGCUUAUAUGCAGUUCCUUUUGCCUUUGGUUUUAAAGAUUCCAUUCAUUUCCAAGGUUAGUUUUGUCAGUACUUUUUCUCUCAGCAUACUGUUGAGGUUGCUCGAAGCUCUUGUAACACAGUUAGGUUCUUUUGUCAAAUUCUGCAUCUCAUCCUGAAUUAUUCCUACUGAAAGAGGGAUGUUGAAGUUUCCAAAUAUAAUAGUGGACCUGUUUGUUUCUUUCUGCAGGUCCCAAUUUAUAUUUUCUUUUUAUUUAAAGCAUUUGUUCCAAGUGCACAAUAAAAGUGAAUUUCAUUGAAUCCCAAGUGACCAAUACAUAGUACACAAUUUAUCUUUUGUAGCUCUGUAAAUUGAGGAAUUUUAAUUUCAUAAUUGGUGGGGAUGCUUCAUUUAUAGAUCUGCAAAUCUGUUAGGAAGAAUAUUGUUCCUUCAGGAUAGAAUGGGAAACUGAGGCAUGUAGAAGUAAGAGUUAUUUAAGAGUUUAUUCAUGUAUAGACUCUGAUUACUAUAUUUGCAUCAUGUUAUGGUAAAUAACAAUAGACACCUCUAUUUCUGAACAAAUUGAUCUGAAUUUACCCUAAGUUACUCUUCCUUUUUUGAUUUCUUGAUGCCUGCCUGUCUUCCUUCCUUCCUACUGUAUCCACAGCAUAUGGAAGUUCCUGGGCCAGGGAUUGAAUCUGAGCUGCAGCUGUGACUUAUGCCACUGCUGUGGCAAUGCAGGAUCCUUUAACACACUGCGUCUGGCUGGGAAUCGAAUUUGCACCUCCACAGUGACCGGAACUGCUGCAGUUGUAUUCUUAACCCAUUGCGCCAUGGCAAGGUCUCCUUGGUUUUCUAAAAUUAAUAUUCUGUCAUUGAGCACAAGAAAAUUUUAAGUAUUUUGGCAUGGUGGGGAAAUAAAAGCUUUUGUUU